GACGAACGCUGGCGGCGUGCCUAAUACAUGCAAGUAGAACGCAGUUGCGAACGGGUGAGUAACGCGUAGGUAACUGCCUCAUAGCGGGGGAUAACUAUUGGGAACGAUAGCUAAUACCGCAUACUGUGAGAGGGACCUGCGGUGUAUUAGCUAGGUGGUGAGGUAAAGGCUCACCAAGGCGAAGAUACAUAGCCGACCUGAGAGGGUGGUCGGCCACACUUGGACUGGGACACGGCCCAGGCUCCUACGGGAGGCAAGAGGAGGGAAUCUUAGGAAAAGGGCGGAAGUCUGACCGAGCCACGCCGCGUGAGUGAAGAAGGUUUUCGGAGCGUAAAGCUCUGUUGUUAGAGAAGCGUUACCUACCCAGAAAGGGACGGCUAACUACGUGCCAGCAGCCGCGGUAAUUC
rnacentral:rRNA from 1 species